AAACUCUGAAUGCCAUAUCAUUAGAAAAUAAAAUUAUCAAGUUUUGCAAGCCAAUAUAUAUAGGUUUUGCAGUAUUGGAAAUUUCUAAGACCGUUAUGUAUGAUUAUCAUUACAACGUUAUGCAAGCUCAUUAUGGAAAUAAAAUUGAGCUCAUGUAUACUGAUACAGAUUCACUGGUAUACUAUAUCCAGACCGAUGAUUUUUACAAAGACU